rnacentral:rRNA from 1 species
UACGUAGGGUGCAAGCGUUAAUCGGAAUUACUGGGCGUAAAGCGUGCGCAGGCGGUUGUGCAAGACAGAUGUGAAAUCCCCGGGCUUAACCUGGGAACUGCAUUUGUGACUGCACAGCUGGAGUGUGGCAGAGGGGGAUGGAAUUCCGCGUGUAGCAGUGAAAUGCGUAGAUAUGCGGAGGAACACCGAUGGCGAAGGCAAUCCCCUGGGCCUGCACUGACGCUCAUGCACGAAAGCGUGGAGAGCAAACAGG